UGGACCAAUGGGAACUCUUCUGAACCUAUUUAAGGCUUGUUCCAGCCCUUACUUAUUGCCCUAUCGUGGUGUCUGUCCUGAUACACAUUAGUGCCAAUAGUAAGUGUCUCUUGUUGUAUUCCUGUUAUUGACCUCGGCUCGUAUUUGACUCGUGAUUUUCUGGUAUCCUGUCCUGACUUUGUCUUGACUCUGUGUAUUUCUGUAUUCCUGACCUUGGCUUACCCU